ACUGUUCUAGAAUAUUCUCAACCAGGUAACAUACACACGGUUCUAGAAUAUUCUCCACCAGGUAACAUACACACUGUUCUAGAAUAUUCUCCACCAGGUAACAUACACACUGUUCUAGAAUAUUCUCCACCAGGUAACACACACACACAGUGUUCUAGAAUAUUCUCCACCAGGUAACACACACACACAGUGUUCUAGAAUAUUCUCCACCAGGUAACACACACACAGUGUUCUAGAAUAUUCUCCACCAGGUAACACACACACUGUUCUAGAAUAUUCUCCACCAGGUAACACACACACUGUUCUAGAAUAUUCUCCACCAGGUAACACACACACUGUUCUAGAAUAUUCUCCACCAGGUAACACACACACUGUUCUAGAAUAUUCUCAACCAGGUAACACACACACACACUGUUCUAGAAUAUUCUCCACCAGGUAACAUACACAGUGUUCUAGAAUAUUCUCCACCAGGUAACAUACACACUGUUCUAGAAUAUUCUCCACCAGGUAACACACACACUGUUCUAGAAUAUUCUCAACCAGGUAACAUACACACUGUUCUAGAAUAUUCUCCACCAGGUAACACACACACGGUUCUAGAAUAUUCUCCACCAGUUAACACACACACACUGUUCUAGAAUAUUCUCCACCAGGUAACACACACACUGUUCUAGAAUAUUCUCCACCAGGUAACACACACACUGUUCUAGAAUAUUCUCCACCAGGUAACACACACACUGUUCUAGAAUAUUCUCCACCAGUUAACACACACACACGGUUCUAGAAUAUUCUCAACCAGGUAACAUACACACUGUUCUAGAAUAUUCUCCACCAGGUAACAUACACACUGUUCUAGAAUAUUCUCCACCAGGUAACACACACACUGUUCUAGAAUAUUCUCCACCAGGUAACAUACACACUGUUCUAGAAUAUUCUCCACCAGGUAACAUACACACUGUUCUAGAAUAUUCUCAACCAGGUAACACACACACUGUUCUAGAAUAUUCUCCACCAGGUAACACACACACACACUGUUCUAGAAUAUUCUCCACCAGGUAACACACACACUGUUCUAGAAUAUUCUCCACCAGGUAACACACACACUGUUCUAGAAUAUUCUCAACCAGGUAACAUACACACUUUUCUAGAAUAUUCUCAACCAGGUA